CCUACGGGAGGCAGCAGUGAGGAAUAUUGGUCAAUGGACGAGAGUCUGACCCAGCCAAGUAGCGUGAAGGAUGACUGCCCUAUGUGUUGUAAACUUCUUUUAUAUGGGAAUAAACUGUUCCACGUGUGGGAUUUUGUAUGUACCAUAUGAAAAAGGAUCGGCUAACUCCGUGCCAGCAGCCGCGGUAAUACGGGGGAUCCGAGCGUUAUACGGGUUUAUUGGGGUUAAAGGGGGCGUAGGGGGAUUGUUAAGUCAGUUGUGAAAGUUUGCGGCUCAACCGUAAAAUUGCCGUUGAAACUGGCAGUCUUGAGUACAGUAGAGGUGUGCGGAAUUCGUGGUGUAGCGGUGAAAUGCUUAGAUAUCACGAAGAACUCCGAUUGCGAAGGCAGCUCACUGGACUGCAACUGACACUGAGGCUCGAAAGUGUGGGUAUCAAACAGGAUUAGAUACCCUUGUAGUC
rnacentral:rRNA from 1 species